CGAACGCUGGCGGCGUGCUUAACACAUGCAAGUCGAACGCGAAAGGGACUUCGGUCCUGAGUAAAGUGGCGCACGGGUGAGUAACGCGUAGAUAACCUGUCUUCAUGUCUGGAAUAAUACGCCGAAAGGGGUACUAAUACCGGAUAUUCUUGCUUUUCAUAAGUAUGCAAGCAAAGGUGGCCUCUGCAUAUGCUACUGCAUGAAGAGGGGUCGUGCGUACCAUUAGCUAGUAGGUGGGGUAAUGGCCUACCUAGGCGACGAUGGUUAGCGGGUCUGAGAGGAUGAUCCGCCACACUGGCACUGGAACACAGGCCAGACUCCUACGGGAGGCAGCAGUGAGGAAUAUUGCGCAAUGGGGGAAACCCUGACGCAGCGACGCCGCGUGAGUGAAGGAAGGCCUUCGGGUCGUAAAGCUCUGUCAAGAGGAAAGAAGUGUACAAUGGCUAAUACCUGUUGUAUUUGACGGUACCUCUAAAGGAAGCACCGGCUAACUCCGUGCCAGCAGCCGC
rnacentral:rRNA from 1 species